UACGUAGGUGGCAAGCGUUGUCCGGAUUUACUGGGCGUAAAGAGCGCGCAGGCGGCUGGUAAAGUCCGAUGUGAAAUCUCCCGGCUUAACUGGGAAACUGCAUCGGAAACUGAUCGGCUUGAAGGUGGGAGAGGGUAGUGGAAUUCCCGGUGUAGUGGUGAAAUGCGUAGAUAUCGGGAGGAACACCGGUGGCGAAGGCGGCAUCCUGGACCACGACUGACGCUGAGGAGCGAAAGCCAGGGGAGCAAACGGG
rnacentral:rRNA from 1 species